rnacentral:lncRNA from 10 species
CUGAAUGCAGCUACAUGAGAAAUCCCAGUCUUUUCAACAGGCAAAAGAUUCUCAAGGGAAAAAUGAAAAUGCCUUCAGGAUCACAAUCAAAUCAAGAAUGUAGAUAUAAGACUUUCUGAAAAAUUAAGAUGUUGUCUAAUAGACCUUCUCAGCUAGACAAAAAUCUUAAGGGCCUUGUCCUACAGCAGCACCCUGAAAUUCCCCAUCCAAGUACAGAAGAAUCUAUUUCAAACAUAGUUGUGAAUAUGGUUUUUGUUUAAUGGAGUAUAAUGUGAUGCACAGAAAACCCAAAACAUUUUUAAAGGAGUUGUAGCAGCUUGGAUUGAAGAAAACAAACACAGUUUAAAACACAAAGAGGACUGUGGUCCCCAAAGUUUACAGUUAGAAAGCAGGCUAAGAAAGCUACAAACAUGAACCCUCUCUUAUGGAAGGAAAAAGAAAUUCAAAGAGUAGAGCCAAGAGACUAGAAGGUGAAUUUAAGGGCUAAGGAAAACAGCUGAUUUUCUGAAUUUAAGGGCCAAGGAAAACAGCUGAUUAGGAAACUACUCCCAGAGAGCAGGGCCUAGUAAAGGAAUAUUCCCUGCCUUGGGUAGAGAGCUCUGAUGACAUGUGACUGUGCCUGUGCCUGGCUAGAUUUCAGAAUUGCUAUGUACCAGUGACUGUUAGUGCCUCUUGCUCUUCUCCUUUUGAAUAAGAGUGACUAUUGCAUCAUCUAGUGCCUGUCCCUUGGUGCUUUAAAUUCACAAGUUUCUGGAUCAAGAGGAUCUGCUGCACUCAAGAGACUUUUUCUGUAUCCAGACCAGAUGAAGAUCACAAGCUCCAGGAUUCUGAGCCUUAUGCUAUAACUGAGUGAGAUCUUUGAAGAUCUUGGGAGGGGUAAAUUUAUUUUGUAUCUGGGAAGACUACUAGUAAUUGUAGUCAAAUGGAAAACUGUGGUAGGUUAAAUAUGGCCACAGAGCUUUGCAGCUAGCUCCUCCCCUCAGAAGGUUGAAUCUAUUCCGACCUUUGGGUUUGGGCUGGGUUUGUGACUCAAUUUGCCCAGUGGAAUGUAGAAGAAGCAAAACUAUCUGUGUCCAAGGUCUAGUCCUCAAAGGGGCCUUGCAGCUUCCUCCAUCAUCCCCUUUGAGCCUGUUAUAACCUCACUGUAAGAAAGCUGGUCUAUUUGGAGACUAGAAUCCACAUGAAGGAGCAUCAGGGUGUCCUCCCUAAAAGCACCAACUGGACUCAGCAAAAACAGCUGAAUUCCACUGCAAACAACUCUUUGACUUAAACAAGAUUAUUCUGAGAAAUCACAAAACAAAAGCCCUUUUUAAAAUCAGGGCUUCCUGAGAGUCCAGGGGAAUUGGAAUUGUGUGAUUCCAGUGGCAACUGGCAGAUAGGUUGAGGAAGGCCAUCUUGGACCUUGCAGCCUUGCUGACUCUCCAGCUGGAUGCAGUCCCAUGAGUGGGGCCCAAACAAAACUGUCAGAGGAUCAACCUAGACAACUCCAGGAAUUAUGGGAUAUGAUAAACUGUUGUUGUUUUAGGCUGCUAAGUAUAGAGGUAAUUUGUUACACAUAAAUAGUUAAGUAGUUUACUCUCACUACCACUAGAACGGUCAGACUUACCUGGGCAGGCAACAAUGGAAUUUAGAACAAUCCUGUGGUCCUAGAGGCCCCCAAGCCAGAAAGCAGCACCUGCCCGACGCCUGCUCUUUCUCUUUUAGUUAUGUUACAGAAGUAGUUUACAAAUGUCUGGUGAUCCUUUUAUUCCCCAGAGGCAAUUGGACUCAGCAAAAACAGCUGAAUUCCACUGCAAACAACUCUUUGACUUAAACAAGAUUAUUCUAAGAAAUCACAAACCAAAAGCCCUUUUUAAAAUCAGGGCUUCCUGAGAGUCCAGGGGAAUUGGAAUUGUGUGAUUCCACUGUAUGACGCUCAGUACAGUGGCUGUAGCGCCAUAAGGUCACCUGCCCAGGUUGCUUUGGAGGAAAACUGCUUUUGAUUUCACCAGCAGGUGAGCAGACUGGAUCACUUUGGUGACUUGAAUGUCUUGGGAUGCUAUCAGGCCAUCCUUCUGCUGUUAAGAAGUGCUGCCUGGACAGCACAGUUAUCACAAAAAGAAAUCCUUAUCCAUUUUUUCCCUGGGAUUAAGCCUGCUCUCUUAAUCAGUAUGCAGAGUGAAAACCCACUGGGACAUGAGGGACAGCUCUGUCACCCUGCUGUACUGCCUGGUAAAAUUCCACUAGCUUGUCAAGAUCCAGCAACAGCAUUGCUUCCUCUGGGCAAACAUCACUUGCUUUCAUUCCACUCCCCCAUGUGGUAGAACAAUAAUGCCAGGGACUGCUAUCUUUAACACUGUUGUACAUCAUGAGUACACUGCCUUAGGGUUGUCUGUGCCUCCAUCCCACUGACUCAGGCUCACUUUAAGAGGAAGGAUUUUGCUGUAACUGUCUUGAUACAUCCAGUGUGCACCUGACACAUGGAAGACAUUGGGUAAAUAGCUGCUGAAUUAAUUCAUUCAGCAACUAUUUAUCAAAUUCCUACUUUGUGCCAGGUACUUGCUCUGGUGUCACCGCAGGAAACAAAACACACAAAUUCUUGCCUUCAGAGAUCCUAAUUUCCACUCAAAGGAGUCAAAGGAUACACAGAAAAUAAUAAAUAAAUUGUAGGGUAUAUUAUAGGUUAUAUGAGAAGAUAACAAAUAUUAUACAGAAUAAUAAAGCAGGAAAAGAGAAAGAGGAACAGCAGUUUUAAUAGAAGCUUGCAUUUGAGCAAAGACUUGUAGGCAUAGAGGAAUUUAGCCAAGUGGAUCUGGGGAAAAAGUGUCCUAGGCUCAAGACACAGUCAGUGCAAAGGUCCUGGGGUAGGGGUAUGCCUGAUUUAUUUGAAGAACAGCAAAGAGGCCACAGUGGCUGUAGCCAUGUGAACAGGGAGCACCUGUUACAAGAUAAAAAUAGAACUGGUAAUGGUGUCGGGUGCUGUUUGUGUAGGAAUUUGUAGGACAGAGUAAGAAUUUUAGCAGAGGAGUGACACAACCUAAUAUAGGCUUUAAAAGGACCCAUUAGACUAUUCAAUUCAGUAAAAAUAAAAAGAACUCG